rnacentral:tRNA from 1 species
GGUAAAUAGUUCAGAUUGUAGAGUGCAGGACUUACAUGCUUGGGGUUCUAGGUUCAAUUCCUAGUACCA